GUGAGGCAAUUCAUACUCUUUUAGAAAUAAAAAUUACAAUGAUUAUAUAGAUAUUUUUUCUUAAUUUUUCUUUUUCAAUCAUGACGGGGUUCAUUUUAUUCUUUAACGAUUAUCAAAACGAUUGUUCACUAUGAAAUGGCUUCAGUGAGGUGUGUGAUACUAUACUGAUUCAAUUGUAAAUCCUUAAUUUAAAGAUGUACUUGUAAGAUAGCUGAAAAUAUGACAUUUACAAGGUUUUUUUUUUAUUUCUUUAUUUUUAAAACAUUUUUAGUGAUCUUUUCGAAGUUAACAAGUGUGUUUUGUUUCAAUAAAAUAUGAUGC
rnacentral:sRNA from 1 species